GAUGAGCCCGCGUAGGAUUAGCUAGUUGGUGUGGUAAACCGCGCACCAAGGCGACGAUCCUUAGCUGGUCUGAGAGGAUGAUCAGCCACACUGGGACUGAGACACGGCCCAGACUCCUACGGGAGGCAGCAGUGGGGAAUAUUGGACAAUGGGCGCAAGCCUGAUCCAGCAAUGCCGCGUGAGUGAUGAAGGCCUUAGGGUUGUAAAGCUCUUUUACCCGGGAUGAUAUUGACAGUACCGGGAGAAUAAGCCCCGGCUAACUCCGUGCCAGCAGCCGCGGUAAUACGGAGGGGGCUAGCGUUGUUCGGAAUUACUGGGCGUAAAGCGCACGUAGGCGGCUUUGUAAGUUAGAGGUGAAAGCCUGGAGCUCAACUCCAGAACUGCCUUUAAGACUGCAUCGCUUGAAUCCAGGAGAGGUGAGUGGAAUUCCGAGUGUAGAGGUGAAAUUCGUAGAUAUUCGGAAGAACACCAGUGGCGAAGGCGGCUCACUGGACUGGUAUUGACGCUGAGGUGCGAAAGCGUGGGGAGCAAACAGGGUUAGAUACCCUGGUAGUCCACGCC
rnacentral:rRNA from 1 species